CCGGAGUCUACGAAGCGUGAAUCUGGCUUGAGCAUCUUGGUCCUGGGUCGUUUGCUCGCUGAACCUUCCUAGAACGGGAGUGGAGUGAGGAAUCCAGGCACCUUGUUGAGGGCAUUGGAAAGGUUUUGACAAGGCAGAGGUACCUGCAACGUUCCGGGAUUCAGUCCACCAGGAUCUCUUCUGAGAGAGAGGAAUUAUGGGUUUCUCCCAGAGUGCUCUCUAGCCCUGAGAGUUUCAAGAGAGGUGUGAAUUUGGAUAUUUCAUACUAAAUCCUGAAAUCGCCCAAACACGUGAACUCCAGAAACCCAGUCACAUCAUUUGGAUCAGAAAGGAAAUUAACAAAUUUCUUCACCUGUGAUAUAAAGGCAUUGGAAUAUAUGACCCCUAAGGACUCUUCCAGUUUUCAGGGAGAAUUUAUUAUACUGGGGAAAAUAUGGCGCUUGAGGUGGGGUGAUAAAACAUAUAUCAGAUAAAUAUUCACAAAAGCCCUGCUACAUGAUAAUGAGGACCAGUCUAACUCUCCCAGAGCAGAACAUGUUGACUCUUGAGGUAAUGAGUUCUUGUUUAUCAUAAAUCCUUAAGCAGAAUUUGGAUAGUUACUUAUUAGUUGUAUUUUAGAGGAGACUGCUUUUGUGCUGUUGAUUGAGCUAAUAAUAAUUACUUUUGAGGUACUUUGUUCUUUUAUAUUCUAUGAUGAAUUGAAAUGCUAUAAAUUAUAUAUACUUGUUAAUAUUUUAGUAUUUCCAUGACAUUUGAUUUCAUUGCUCUGGGUACUUUCUUUAAUGGGAUACAUCUCAUCUUUUUUCUGACUUGCUAAUAAAUCGUCAGGAACUAUUUAGCUGAAAAAUACUUCAACCUGGGGUCUACUAUUUAAGUAGACUGACACAGGCAACAAUUGGUGCUUCAGGAAUAUAAGGUGCACUAGACACCAUUGUGGGAAGAAUUAGAAUAAGAU
rnacentral:lncRNA from 1 species